AGUCUGAGCCAGACACGCAAACUGGUGGUACCGCCAUAACGAUCUGAAAACAUCCUCCAUUAGUCCGCCUCCGGCCACCCCCUUUCAUUCCGCCGCAACGCCACCGCCCCCAACGCAAGUUUCCGGCGAUGGACCCCGCGGCGGCCGCGCUAGGUGCAGUACCCGCCGCUGGCGCGCCACCUCCGGGCGCAGCCGCAGGGGACCAGCAGGCAGCUCCCCGGGUUGAGCGGCUCAGCGCGGGGGUGCAGCAGCAGUUGAACCUGGAGGGGAUGCGCGCGCGCGCGGUGGGGCUGUACAAGGCCAUCUCCCGCAUCCUCGAGGACUUUGACGUCAUCAUACGCACCAAUCCCAGCGCCUCCCCCAAGUGGCAGGACGUGCUCGGGCAGUUCUCGAUGGUGAGCAUGGAGCUCUUCAACAUUGUGGAGGACAUUAAGAAUGUGUCCAAGGUGUUUGUCGUGUACCCCCGGAAUGUCAAUGCCGAGAAUGCAACAAUACUACCUGUAAUGCUGUCGUCAAAACUGCUGCCUGAGAUGGAAGUUGAGGAAACUACUAAGAGAGAGCAACUAUUGUCUGGAAUAACUAAUCUACCUGUGCCUACACAGAUUGAAAAAUUAAAGGUUAGAAUAGACAUGAUUGGGAGUGCAUGCGAAACUGCUGAGAAAGUAAUUGCAGAAUGCCGUAAGAGCUAUGGGCUGGGAAGCCGUCAGGGGACAAAUCUUGGUCCUACAUUGGACAAAGCACAAGCUGCAAAGAUACAGGAGCAGGAAGGCCUACUUAGAGCAGCAGUAAAUUAUGGUGAAGGAUUACGGGUACCUGGAGAUCAGAGGCAUCCACAAUCUCUUCCUAUCCAUCUGAUAGAAGUGCUUCCUUUAGGAGACGGUGCACAAAAUUUUGGUGAUAGUUCUGGUAGUUAUCCCAAAAAUAUGUCAACAUUUGCACCUAAUAGUGUCAACAGCCAGGGAAAUCAGAUUCAGGCAUCCGGAGGACAGUUACUUGGAAGGCCUGCGCCAUCACCUGGAACCACAGGAACCCCUAAUUUCGAGAAUGUGUCCACUCCUCCAAUGCCAUAUGCUAACUCUCCUAGGUCAGGCACCAAUAUGAUGAAUACCCCUUCCCCCCAGCAACAUCUAACACCACAACAACAGAGGCAAAAACUGAUGCAACAUUCUCAACCGCUUCACCAGCCGGUGAGGCCAUCAGCUGCUGGGAUGCUAGCACAGAGCGCACUUCCUCAACUACAAGAUUUACAGGGGCAGGCUCAACAAAAACUACAGGUCCCUGGUCAACAGCAAAUGCAAUACAACCAAGCAUUGUCACAACAGUUUCAUAACAGACAGAUGCAACCUGGACGUAUGCAACCAGGCAUGGCUCAGAGUCAAUUGAAUCAAGGAACUCAGCUACGAAGUCAUUUAGGCCAGUUUACUGGAGCUGCAAAUAAUGCGAUGUUCAAUGCUGCACAGGCAUCAUCAAACUCACAAAUGGUUCUGCCAGAAAUAAUUCUCUGCGUGCAUAUGGUAUAAUUGAUCACAACUACUGGGCAAUGACAGUCUGUAUUCCCUUUUGCCCUUGUAGAUCGUCAAGAAAGUAUGGUAUGGCUGGUGGGCAUCCACAUAGGAGCCAUCCCCAAAUGCUGACUGACCAAAUGUUCGGUAUGGGAGCCACAAAUAGCAGCAUGAUGGGAAUGCAGCAGCAGCAGCAAGGGCUAUACGGGAACAUGCAGGCAGGUGCACAGAACGUGCCACAGGGUAUGGCGGGCCUUCAGAACCAGACCCAGAAUCCCAACUUCACUCAGCAGAGGCAACAAAACCAACAAUGAUUUAACACUAACGUUCACGGAGGUUGAAAGAUGAGCAAUAUAUCCGUCGUUUUGCUGCUUGUCUGUUGGUCUUUACUCAGCUUAUCUGUGAGACUGAUAGUAGCCCCAGGUUAGCCUUCGUUUUGCUGUAAAUCAUUAGCGAGAUGCAGGUCAAUUAUAAUUAUAUACGUUGUAACUGUGUUUCGGAUAUGUCUAAUAUGUUUUGUUGGAAUCGUGUUACGCGCGUUCCUUUUAUUUAUAAUUAAGCCUCGCAGCAAGGCCGGCAAUCGAAUUGCAUACGGCUAGACGGGUGGGUAGUUCACCAGGAUGAAAAUCGGUCAUCAGGUGGACCCUAGAAUUAUUUGAGGAACUCACAGAUGUACUGUAAUAUGUAUUCCCUGUUGUCUUUCUGGAUAAAUAUCCCAAGAUGUUAUUACGUCU